GACGAACGCUGGCGGCGUGCCUAACACAUGCAAGUCGAACGGAAACUCCCUGCUUUUGUGUGCUGCUCUAGUUUCUACCUGGUUAGUAACACUUGAGUAACCUGCCCUUGACUUUGGGAUAACUUCAUGAAACUUGGUCUCAUCCCUGAUAGGAGCUCCUGCUUCUUGGUGGGGGUUGGAUCGUUUCGCCGGUUGGUGAUGGACUAGCGGCUUAUCAGCUUGUUGGUGGGGUAGUGGCUUACCAAGGUUUUGACGGGUAGCAGUCCUGGGAGGGUAACAGGCCACAUUAGGACUGAGAUACGGCACAGACUCCUACGGGAGGCAGCAGUGCAGAAUAUUACAUAAUAGACGGAAGCAAGAUCCAACAACGCAACGUGCGUUAUGACAUCAUUCCAGUAGUAAACCACAUUCGCCUUAGACGAAGCGUUAAUGACAGUAAUGGGUAAAUAAGCACCGGCUAACUACGUG
rnacentral:rRNA from 1 species